UAGGGAAUAUUGGUCAAUGGGCGAAAGCCUGAACCAGCAACGCCGCGUGUGCGAUGAAGGUCUUCGGAUCGUAAAGCACUUUUCUGGGAGAUGAGAACGGACAGUAUCCCAGGAAUAAGCCUCGGCUAACUACGUGCCAGCAGCCGCGGUAAAACGUAGGAGGCAAGCGUUAUCCGGAUUUACUGGGCGUAAAGCGCGUGCAGGCGGUUCGGCAAGUUGGAUGUGAAAGCUCCUGGCUCAACUAGGAGAGGUCGUUCAAAACUACCGAACUUGAGGGCAACAGAGGAAAGUGGAAUUCCCGGUGUAGUGGUGAAAUGCGUAGAUAUCGGGAGGAACACCAGUGGCGAAAGCGACUUUCUGGGUUGCAUCUGACGCUCAGACGCGAAAGCUAGGGUAGCAAACGGG
rnacentral:rRNA from 1 species